GAUGAACGCUGGCGGCGUGCCUAAUACAUGCAAGUCGAGCGAACAGACGAGGAGCUUGCUCCUCUGACGUUAGCGGCGGACGGGUGAGUAACACGUGGAUAACCUACCUAUAAGACUGGGAUAACUUCGGGAAACCGGAGCUAAUACCGGAUAAUAUAUUGAACCGCAUGGUUCAAUAGUGAAAGACGGCUUUGCUGUCACUUAUAGAUGGAUCCGCGCCGCAUUAGCUAGUUGGUAAGGUAACGGCUUACCAAGGCAACGAUGCGUAGCCGUCCUGAGAGGGUGAUCGGCCACACUGGAACUGAGACACGGUCCAGACUCCUACGGGAGGCAGCAGUAGGGAAUCUUCCGCAAUGGGCGAAAGCCUGACGGAGCAACGCCGCGUGAGUGAUGAAGGUCUUCGGAUCGUAAAACUCUGUUAUUAGGGAAGAACAAAUGUGUAAGUAACUAUGCACGUCUUGACGGUACCUAAUCAGAAAGCCACGGCUAACUACGUG
rnacentral:rRNA from 1 species